AACGCGAAGAACCUUACCAACCCUUGACAUCCUAGGACAACUCCAGAGAUGGAGCCUUCCUUCGGGACCUAGUGACAGGUGCUGCAUGGCUGUCGUCAGCUCGUGUCGUGAGAUGUUCGGUUAAGUCCGGCAACGAGCGCAACCCACAUCCUUAGUUGCCAGCAGUUCGGCUGGGCACUCUAGGGAAACUGCCCGUGAUAAGCGGGAGGAAGGUGUGGAUGACGUCAAGUCCUCAUGGCCCUUACGGGUUGGGCUACACACGUGCUACAAUGGCAGUGACAAUGGGUUAAUCCCCAAAAACUGUCUCAGUUCGGAUUGGGGUCUGCAACUCGACCCCAUGAAGUCGGAAUCGCUAGUAAUCGCGUAACAGCAUGACGCGGUGAAUACGUUCCCAGGGUCUUGUACACACCG
rnacentral:rRNA from 1 species